AGCAGCGUGGCUCAGUGGAAAGAGCAUGGGCUUGGGAGUCAGAGGUCAUGGGUUCUAAUCCUGGCUCUGCUA
rnacentral:tRNA from 1 species